UCAGGCCUAACACAUGCAAGUCGAGGGGUAGAAGGAGCUUGCUCCUUUGAGACCGGCGCACGGGUGCGUAACGCGUAUGCAAUCUACCUUGUACAGGGGAAUAGCCCAGAGAAAUUUGGAUUAAUGCCCCAUAGUAUAUAACCUUCGCAUGUUGGUUAUAUUAAAGUUCCAACGGUACAAGAUGAGCAUGCGUCCCAUUAGUUAGUUGGUAAGGUAACGGCUUACCAAGACGAUGAUGGGUAGGGGUCCUGAGAGGGAGAUCCCCCACACUGGUACUGAGACACGGACCAGACUCCUACGGGAGGCAGCAGUGAGGAAUAUUGGUCAAUGGUCGCAAGAUUGAAAGAGCCAUGCCGCGUGCAGGAAGACGGUCCU
rnacentral:rRNA from 1 species